GACGGAAGCAAGGUGCUGGCUCCAAGGGGAAGCACCCAGCCGAGUCCCCCGCAGUCCCCUAGAGGGGCAGAGUGGGGGGCUGGGCCACCUGCCUUCCAGGGCCCUCUGUUCUCAUUCCCUGGGGGCUCUGGGAGGACGGGCAGGGUAGCAGGUGACCCCAGAGGUGCCUGCGGCCUGACUCACAGCCGUCCACCCAGGGCUGGGCUGCCGCGGUGGUGGCUCCUCGGGGACGGUCCGCCUCUCUGGUUGCCCGGCCUGCCCCGUCCAGGGUGCCCUGAGCACUCAGGGCCUCCUGCGUCACCUCACCAGUGACCUGCCUUCUUGGCUGCUCCUGAUGGUCCUGCACUGGCCCCUUCUGGGAACUUCUUCCAGGGGCUGCUGAUCCCUGGGCAUCUGUCCUACCUUCCCCUGCCACGUCCACACACCUGCACUGGGGCUGAGCCGGAGGCCAUGGGGGGCUGACCCCACCACAAGCCCCUCACCUCCUGCUGCCUGGUGUGGGAGCUGCACAGGGCCAGCACCUGCUGUCCAGGUACAGGGGGGAGGGACAGGCCAGCCAGUUUCUAUCCUGGCAGCACCUCUGGGUGUGGCUGCCUCCUGGGGACCUGCCUGGGGACUCAACCUGGAGGACCUGACCCAGGGGACAUGACCAGGGACAACCUGAUCGGGGGACCUGACCCUGGGGACGUGACCCAGAGGACCUGACCUGGGCUACGGUGCUCUUUAGCUGGAGGGGUCCCCGAGAGGGACUUGGCGGAGAGCUGCUCUGGGGGCCCCUCAGCCUCAGUCCUGUGAAUCUGGGUGUCCACCGCAGUCCCUCUGUGUGGUCUUGGUGGCUGUGUGACUUUCCCACAUUCAGCCGAUGACAACCUCAGCCAAAUGCUACGGCCUCUGGGAAAUGCCCUGAGUUUUCUUCCUGCCUCUUUGAUGGAUAUUUAUAGUUUGUGCCAUUGAUAAGGAAUACAGCCAUUUUUCGCAGACUAGCACGGUGCCCUGUGCCCCACGGGGUGACCCUGCAGACAGCAGCUCCCUCAGGACCCACAGAGAGCCCGGAGCCCUCACCGCCACCCCAGCGUUGGGAUUCUCCCCAACACGUGCCGUCCUUGUGUUCCCUGGCUCUCGAGAGCUUUCC
rnacentral:lncRNA from 1 species